AAAAUAAUUUCUGCAAGCAUCCUGUUAAGAGUAUACAUCUUUACCACUUGUCAGUUCGUGUUAAGUUUCAAAAGAGUAUAAUUCAACACAAAACGUGUAUUGUGGGAGAAUUUCAAUUUUUAUUCAAAUAACAAUUUUUUCGUGUGUGCCAUUCUUUUUUUUUUGUUUACACAGAAAUAAAAAACUGACAAAGAAUCAAAGAAAUGUCUUCUACAACCUACUGUUUAAUCCACAUGGCGAUGUCCGGAAUAUACGUAUUCACGGCAUAUUACGCAUUUUUUCAUCUCGAUAUACCAAUGUUAAGACGAAGUACCGAAUAUUUUGACCCUGGCCAAUUUAAGUAUCUCACCGUUUGGAAUGUUAUUCUACAGGCCAUAUUUUUCUUCAUCUGUAUGUUAAAUGACGUGUAUGGAACGAAUAAAAGUAGUCCAAAAAAAACUCCAUUUAUUAGACGAUUCAAAGACUUCUUUCAUGCUGCGUUAAGUUUUCCCGUUGGUAUGUUUGUAGGUGUGACAUUUUGGUCUCUAAUGUUCGUCGAUCGUGAACUAGUAUUGCCAAAAGCAUUGGAUCCCUAUUUUCCAUCAUGGCUGAAUCAUUUAAUGCACACAUUAAUUGUUGUAACGACAGUUACAGAAAUGUUCAUAGCACCACGUCAAUAUCCUAAACGAACACAAGGUCUCGGAGGACUUCUUUCAUUUAUGUUAACUUAUUUAGUUUGGAUGCAUGUGAUUUACAUGAAGAGUGGAAUUUGGGUCUACCCUGUGAUGGAAGUAUUGACAGUGCCCUUAAGGAUAGCCUUCAUUGUCGUAUUACUGCUAUUUACAGUAAUACUCUACUUCACUGGAGAAACAUUCAAUCAUCUGAUCUGGGGUAACGAUCAAUUCAAACAUCAAAAAUCUCAUAUGAAAGCCAAGUAGCCUCGCCAAUUGUCACCUCCUGGUGACGUCUACACGCGUUCUACUCUCUACGGUGGUGGUAAAAAAUACACUCAAACAGAGAUACCAGUUUCGAAAAUGUAGAUGCAAGCAAAAAAAACCAGGAGGACUACACAUCGAUACUCGAAAAAAUAAAAUAUCUUCGUCGUCCACAAAAAAUAAUCCCAAAGAAGUACGAUUCAUUUUACAAAGGAGAAUACCAGAACAAUUUGAAUCGACCAAAAUAAUUUUAAAGAAAAAACAAAUCUAUGAUAAUAAUAAUAAUAAUAUACACUAAAGGAAUUUUUUAAUUUAUCCAGAGAAAAGACAAUCGAAGAAUAUAUUUUUUAAAAACUACUUUUUUUUAGAAAAAGAAAAAUCUCUUCACUGCCUUUUUAAUGUCUUUGUAGAUCAAUUUUGUUUUUAUUAUGUUUUUUUAAUUGAAUUACCUCAGUAAACUGAUGUAUUUUACUGCCUUUUUUCUAAUUCCUGAAUGCUGUGCUAGAUAUUAAGCUUAUCUAUCUUUGUACAAAUUCUUGAAAAUAAAUGUGCAUUGUGAAUGUGUAUAUAUAAAUAUAAUUUACAUUUAGACAAUAAACUUUGUUAAUUUGCGUUUA